rnacentral:rRNA from 1 species
AGAGUUUGAUCAUGGCUCAGAGCGAACGCUGGCGGCAGGCUUAACACAUGCAAGUCGAGCGGGCGUAGCAAUACGUCAGCGGCAGACGGGUGAGUAACGCGUGGGAACGUACCUUUUGGUUCGGAACAACACAGGGAAAACUUGUGCUAAUACCGGAUAAGCCCUUACGGGGAAAGAUUUAUCGCCGAAAGAUCGGCCCGCGUCUGAUUAGCUAGUUGGUGAGGUAACGGCUCACCAAGGCGACGAUCAGUAGCUGGUCUGAGAGGAUGAUCAGCCACAUUGGGACUGAGACACGGCCCAAACUCCUACGGGAGGCAGCAGUGGGGAAUAUUGGACAAUGGGCGCAAGCCUGAUCCAGCCAUGCCGCGUGAGUGAUGAAGGCCCUAGGGUUGUAAAGCUCUUUUGUGCGGGAAGAUAAUGACGGUACCGCAAGAAUAAGCCCCGGCUAACUUCGUGCCAGCAGCCGCGGUAAUACGAAGGGGGCUAGCGUUGCUCGGAAUCACUGGGCGUAAAGGGUGCGUAGGCGGGUCUUUAAGUCAGGGGUGAAAUCCUGGAGCUCAACUCCAGAACUGCCUUUGAUACUGAAGAUCUUGAGUUCGGGAGAGGUGAGUGGAACUGCGAGUGUAGAGGUGAAAUUCGUAGAUAUUCGCAAGAACACCAGUGGCGAAGGCGGCUCACUGGCCCGAUACUGACGCUGAGGCACGAAAGCGUGGGGAGCAAACAGGAUUAGAUACCCCGGUAGUCC